rnacentral:rRNA from 1 species
GAAUUUUGGACAAUGGGCGAAAGCCUGAUCCAGCAAUGCCGCGUGCAGGAUGAAGGCCUUCGGGUUGUAAUCUGCUUUUGUACGGAGCGAAAAGCUUUAGGUUAAUACCCUGGAGUCAUGACGGUACCGUAAGAAUAAGCACCGGCUAAUUACGUGCCAGCCGCCGCGGUAAUACGGAGGGUGCAAGCGUUAAUCGGAACUACUGGGCGUAAAGCGUGCGCAGGCGGUUUUGUAAGACAGAGGUGAAAUCCCCGGGCUCAACGCGGGAACUUCCUUUGUGACUGCAAGGCUAGAGUACGGCAUAGGGGAGUGGAAUUCCGCGUGUAGCAGUGAAAUGCGUAGAUAUGCGGAGGAACACCGAUGGCGAAGGCAACCCCCUGGGCCUGUACUGACGCUCAUGCACGAAAGCGUGGGGAGCAAACAGG